UGCAGAUAACAUGGGGGAGUUGUUACAGUUUUCCUUCCUUCAAACGACCAGGAAAUUUUGUUGGUAGUGUCGAACCAAGUUCCCUUUGAAACCGACUUCAAAAUGCACUGGAUUACAAAAAAAUACACAUCAACUAAUGUGCAUGUGCUAGAGAGAAGAGAAAAGCUAUAUUCUUGGAGUAAAGUACUAGAUCAUAGCAUGCCCAAUUGUGGCGCUUGGAUUAGUCAUAUAACCUCAUGUCCUUUAAGCCCCGGGUUACAGUUUUCUUAUAACUUCUAUGUAGUCUAGUACAUUUUUGAAGUCUAUUUUCGCAUGCUACCCAUGGGAGAAGCAUGAUGUGUUUCCUGUUUUCACCUUUUAGAAGCAAUUGCAACAAUAGACAUCCUUGUCUAGUUGGAUAUGGCUGAAGCAAGAGCUAGUGGCAACAGGGAUCAGCCACAAGCCCUUGUUACCAAGGUAUUGUAUUGCACUAGUGAUGUUUGUCUCUGUUAGCUUGAUAACUUCUUACAAAAUACCAAGCUAUCAUCUCGGCCUGCUACAUCUAGUAGCCCUUGUGAAGUGGUUGGAGACGAUAGUAAAAAUCCACAGCAACGUUUCAUAAUCAUGAAGUGCCAUAAUUGAUUUAGCUCUGCACAACUAUUUAAGGAAGUGGUACAGAUCAAAGCCUUGACAUAAAAAGGGAAGUAAUUAUUCUCAUACGAGGGCAGGUGAAGGUAGACCAACAUGGAUAGAUAUAAGGAGGCAGCAUCUAGGGAGUUCAUUCUAUAUCUCAUCUUAGGCAAUGUCAUACAAAACUCAGCAAGCAUUCUUUUUUUAAGUUCAACAUGAGAGAUGCUGGUUAUCAUUGAUAGGAGGGUAAAAACACACUUUACAAGGGAGGUUUACAGGGGAAGGAUAGAGGGGGGAGGAAAAAUGAGAAGGACCUAACAUGAUCCGAGAACUACUCUCGCAAGUUGAGAUGUGUCACACCCGCCAUCAUCCAUAGUUGUAGUUCGUCCAUGAUCAUGUUCGCAAGGGUAGCGGCACGGUGUGCGAGGUGUUGGAACACCCGCUGGCAUUGCUCCUUUCAUAGUGCCUAAAGGUUUGCCACCAUGAUGGAGGUUGUUUUCUUGUGAUUGGAUGUGGUGCCUAUCAAGCUGUGCGCCCAGGCAGCCGCCUUGGCCAUUUCCUCUUAAGCAAGCAUUCCUCAAUACUGCUUUCAUAUGAUCUCAUAGACUAGGAAUGUGGGGUGUAGGGGAAUGUGUAUCCAACAUUAUUGUUCUCGCUUGUAGAACGCAAUUGAAUAGUCCUUACAGAACACCAGCAACAGGUGUAGCACCAUAAACGUUGUGUGGCAAGCAUGGCGCAAGAGAAGACCCGGUUACAGAGCUAAGGCCCAGCUGGAUCACCACUAUGGUUAGUGAUUGCCUGAUUAGUCUACCAUGCCUAAGGUAUAUCACAGGUCUCCUAUAUUGAAUGUCUUACAUCAACAUCCAAUCUUAGUAACCAGCAUCCAUGCCAAAGUCCAUUACCCAGAAACAUAAAUUGAAAAUUAGGUACCAAAACCACUUACUAGAAAGUCCACUAGCCAAACAACCUGGAUCAUGCAAACAAGCAUGCGUGAGGUAACACAACCAUGUAUACAAUGACUAUGAGGUCUUGUGACAAAAGAAUUGAACUUGUUAUGUUCAAAUGCACCUUUUGCAGAUCUCAAAGCAGCAGUGCGCCAUUGAAAGGACAAGAUAGCUCUUGUACCCAGAUGAGCAUGUACAUUUGCAUUUUCCAACUCUUGUACGAAGUAAUACUAUAUAUAGAUGAUGCGUGAAGAUAUU
rnacentral:lncRNA from 1 species